CAGCACCUCAAGUGGUCAGGAUGAUUAUUGGGCCUAAAGCAUCCGUAGCCGGCGCUGUAAGUUUUCGGUUAAAUCUGUACGCUCAACGUACAGGCUGCCGGGAAUACUGCAGCGCUAGGGAGUGGGAGAGGUAGACGGUACUCGGAAGGAAGGGGUAAAAUCCUUUGAUCUAUUGAUGACCACCUGUGGCGAAGGCGGUCUACCAGAACACGUCCGACGGUGAGGGAUGAAAGCUGGGGGAGCAAACCGGAUUAGAGACCCGAGUAGUCC
rnacentral:rRNA from 1 species